ensembl:lncRNA
UUGACGAGAAAGACAAACAUCACUGGCGAGACUUUGUGAGGCCUGUUGUACAUGCGUACAACUGCACCAGGAAUGAUGCAACAGGUUACUCACCGUAUGAGCUGAUGUUCGGCAGGCAGCCGACUCUGCCAGUUGACCUCAUACUUGGCCUGAAACCUCCAACUGAGACUCAUACAACUCACUCAGAAUAUGUCCAAAACUUGCGCCAGAGACUCAAAGAAAGCUAUGCACUAGCUGCAGAGAACUCCAAAAAGUCUGGAGAAAGAAAUAAGCACAGAUUUGAUGCCAAGGUGAAAACUGCUGAAUUAGAAGAAGGGGACCGUGUCUUGGUGAAGAAUGUCAACGUCCGUGGCAAACACAAGUUAGCCGAUAAAUGGGAAAGGCCCAUCCAUAUCGUUGUGAAACGGAUUGACGGUGGUCCUGUGUAUGUAGUCAAGCCAGAAACAGGAAUUGGCCCUCGGCGUACACUUCACAGGGACUUACUUUUACCAUGUGGAUUUCUGCCAGUUGAGACUACUCCUGAUUCAGUGCCACAACAAAGCAAACAAACUCAAAUGCGCUUGAGGAAUAGACAAACCCAAGAGAUGGAAUGUGAGUACUCGGACAGAGAAGAAGAGGAUGAUGGCUACUAUGUGAAUGAACCUCCACAGUUCACCACAUGGGGACCCUAUGUGCAAGAGUUCGAAGUCAUUCCCAUCAGUGGCUCUCAGUCUUCUCUGAACCCCAUGGCUCCUGAGUUCAAAUCGCUAGGACUCCAACCAAUUCUUGAUCACUCAGUUGCACCUCUUGACACACAUACAGCUGUCCAUCAGUCCCCAACCCAAAGUGGCCAUGUCAUCAUAGACAUUCCAGAAGAUGAGAUAUUGCAAAGCACAGUGGUCACAGACCCAACACCAGCUCAUGACACGGACAAUGUUCAGAACAGGUUUCCUGUAACCCCUAAAAGGCACUCAGAAGUUACUUGUGGGGAAGAACAAGGUAAGCAGCCCAGGCGUUCAAACAGAGAAAGACACCCCCCACCCAAGUUCACCUAUGAAGAGCUAGGGAAACCCCUAAUCCUUGCCCUUAGUCAGUUUUUUGGGAAACUCCAAGACAUUAUUCCUGACCAUCAGAUACCUUGUCAGAUUUAACGCACAUGCAGGGACUCAUGUGGUUUAGAGGGGGAGGGUGUAACCCUGUCAAUUUUGCCCCA